UCCGGCUUAUCACCGGCGGUUUCCUUAGAGUUCCCAACUAAAUGAUGGCAACUAAGGACGAGGGUUGCGCUCGUUGCGGGACUUAACCCAACAUCUCACGACACGAGCUGACGACAACCAUGCACCACCUGUAAACCGGCCACAAGUGGCUGACACAUCUCUGCAUCAUUCCGGUUCAUGUCAAGCCUUGGUAAGGUUCUUCGCGUUGCAUCGAAUUAAUCCGCAUGCUCCGCCGCUUGUGCGGGCCCCCGUCAAUUCCUUUGAGUUUUAGCCUUGCGGCCGUACUCCCCAGGCGGGGCGCUUAAUGCGUUAGCUACGGCACGGAAUCCGUUGAUAAGACCCCACACCUAGUGCCCAACGUUUACGGCGUGGACUAC
rnacentral:misc_RNA from 1 species